rnacentral:rRNA from 1 species
AGAAUCAACGCUGGCGGCGUGCCUAACACAUGCAAGUCGAACGAGAAAGUGGAGCAAUCCAUGAGUAAAGUGGCGACCGGGUGAGUAACACGUGACUAACCUACCUUCGAGUGGGGGAUAACCUCGGGAAACCGAGGCUAAUACCGCAUAACAUCGCAAGAUCAAAGCAGCAAUGCGCUGGAAGAGGGGGGUCGCGGCUGAUUAGCUAGUUGGCGGGGUAACGGCCCACCAAGGCGAAGAUCGGUA